CUGGAGCUAAAUUUUGUCAAGCCUUUAGGACCAACUGCGACUCAUGGAAAUGAUGGGACAGGGAACAAAAGUACCACCACGGGGAAGCUCACAGUGGGCACUGUGAGCUUGUGCUCCAUCGAAGAACCUGCUGAAUGGAAGAUUUUGCUGAUGAGCAACUACCAACCUGUUGGAACAAUCUAUUCUGGGAAAACUUUCAAACUCUCUACUCACUGAUCCUGUGCCAGCCUUCACAGCAAAUGGAGGCCAAGAGGUUGCUGCAAAGUCAGUGGCAACUUUGGGAAAAGUUCUGACUUCCAAAGAAGUAGAGAGUGUGGAGGACAAGGGCCGGUCCCUACCAGGGAUGCCCGGACGAGUGAUUCACGCCCCACCCCUCUGGCCACUCACCCACUUCCACGAACUCGUUGUCCUCCAGGGCCACCUCCAGCAGGUCCUCAUUGUCCAGCAGGCCCAGGCCCUUGCAGCGGCGCACGAGGAAGCGCACAUCGUCCACCGAGGCGAAGCCACCAUUGUCUGGCUUGUUCUUGAUGUACCUCCGCACAGCCUCCCGGCCCAGCCAGCCCACGGUGGAACAAACUUCUGAUUUUCUUUGCUUGGCUAGAUACUUCUUAUUCCUCAAGACUCAGUUUAGGCCUUCUCUUCUCCAGGAAGCAUUUCCUAAAC